rnacentral:rRNA from 1 species
UGGGGAAUAUUGGGCAAUGGGCGAAAGCCUGACCCAGCCAUGCCGCGUGAGUGAUGAAGGCCUUAGGGUUGUAAAACUCUUUCGCUGGGGAAGAUAAUGACGGUACCCAGUAAAGAAGCUCCGGCUAAUUUCGUGCCAGCAGCCGCGGUAAUACGAAAGGGGCUAGCGUUGUUCGGAAUUACUGGGCGUAAAGCGCGCGUAGGCGGACUGUCAAGUUGGAGGUGAAAUCCCGAGGCUCAACCUCGGAACUGCCUUCAAAACUGUCAGUCUAGAGGAUGUGAGAGGAUAGUGGAAUUCCGAGUGUAGAGGUGAAAUUCGUAGAUAUUCGGAAGAACACCAGUGGCGAAGGCGACUGUCUGGCACAUUUCUGACGCUGAGGUGCGAAAGCGUGGGGAGCAAACAGGAUUAGAUACCCCCGUAGUCC